GUUCUAGUCUGUAGUCACGUUUGUUACUAGUAAACUUAUUCCGGUUUUUACGUGUAGCAUCUUUUCUUAAAGCUCAAGUUGUCUAGAUUGUACUUUGACGAGGUCAUUUGUUUUAAUUUUUUAAAUAAAAGCACUUUUAUGGAAGAAAAAAAACGUAGGAAAACGUAAAAUUUCGCGAUUUCAUUAUUUUAUAAAAACGGCGUUUCCAAUCGGAAAUAAUGAUUUAAUCGAAAAAUCGCAAGACACCUUUUUUGUUGCCCUUUUGAUUUACAUUCUUAAUGGAACAUCGCCAAUACUUCUGAGCCGUUUUUGAACUUUUAAGGAAUUUUAAUUUUCGGCAGUUUUUUUGCUGUAAUUCGGUUAUAAAAAUACACGCAGAGACUUGAAACUUGGUAAAUAUACUCGUAUUGGAUUUACCUAGACGUGGUGAAAUUUUCAUAAAUCAUCGGACGAAUGGUUUUUUUCUUAAUAGACGUUUCGAAAUCAAAUUUAAACGAAAAUAGCAAAACAAAUUACGGCACUUCAAAUUAUGUAUCGUCGGAACGGCCUUUCGUCAAACAAUGGUUUAUCGUUGCUUACAGAUAUAAAUCUCAACCAA